GAGCAGCUGAAACAAAGUAAGUGUGUAAUGUUUUAUGACACAGUGAGCACGGUCUAAGGUUCAGUGAUCAAAAUGUUACUCCACCGCACACACAGACAGGACAAAAAACUCCAACCUGUUUCUUCCACGUCUUGAUAUUUUAAUAUUUUGACUGAAACCUGCAGAAAUCCCCCGACAACACCACACUCCAUACCGUCCUGCAUACACAGGCAGAGGCCUGACCAGUAAAGCUAAUCUUCUUAGCAAUCACAAGGUUCAACUGUUGGAACAGAACAAAGUUCACAUCGUCAACAACAACAGAGGAGAUAUUUCUACCAGUGAGAGACAGACAGAGAGAGAGACGGGGAGAAAAGGAAACCUAAAGAAAGAGACAGAACACAAAGAAGAAAAUCAUAACUUUGACCGUCUUUUGUUCCUGUGGAAGUGUUCUGGGAUUAUUUCACUAAGCUCUGCAGUGAAACCUGAUAGUGUGACUGACACGCUGACACUGACACACGCUGUCUGAAUUUUAAAAAAAUCAAACUUUAAAUGUGAUGUAGCUGCCAUCGCUCAAACGUCACCUUUGACCUGCGCUCAAAUCCUGACAACUGAAGACAACCUCACGUCAUUAAGGACAUCUGUCAGGGCAAGUAUGUAUUAGCCCACUGAUCAUAUUUGGCAGCCGUCUGCAAGUCAUUUCCAACUACCUCCAGUCAAGCCUGCCUUUUUGGGGAACCUGAAAGCUGAGCAGCAUGACGGUGCUGACCGGCCCCAUGGCUGAUAUGGCUCUGCUCCUUCGACAGACAUUCACACAGACAGACGGAGAGACAGACAGCUUUCUUCCUCUCUUGCUGUUCGGCUCGCUGCUGUUCCUGUCUGUCUGUGUCCUACUAGUGCAACUGAUCAUCUACCUCAGCUGGAAACUCAGACAGGCUGAGGCUGAUCUGUCGGGGAAUCCACAAAACAGAAGCGCCAUCUACAGACAAAUGCGCAGAAGUACACACCUGAGGAGAAGGAGUGUGGGGUGACACACACACACACACACACACACACACACACACACACACACGCACACACCUGAGACCUUUUACGAAGCCCUGCCAGUCAACAUGAGUCUAUCUACAGAGCAAUGGGACCAAUGCACACACCAGCAGGGACACAAUGAAUGCAUCAACUGUCAGAGAAGAUUGUGUCUGUUGUUCAACUAAACACUGAUGACUUUCUCUGAAGAGAAUGACUGACCUGUAUUUAUUUAUUUAUUACCCUGGGACGUCACCCUGAAACUGUUAUUUUCUCUUUGUGGUUGUACUUAUAACACUUCAUCAUUGGACUACCUAAGCAGAAAGUACUAAAACAGUUUCAUCAGUAAAUAAAUGAUAAUGAUGUAAUACGACCAACAGAUUUCAGAGUAUAACAAUCCUUUAUUUAAACAGUGUUACACAGGGGAGGAGUGGCUGUGUAUGGGGAGACACAAGACAAUUAAGCUGCUAGACAGAAAAACUCUACCGGUGAUCAUUGGUUGACUAACAGUGAGCGAUGAGGCAACUGUGGUCGGUUUUCCAAGAUUUGUGACGAGUUUUAAAUACAAAAAUUGUGCUGGUAUUAAUUCCAAAUACGUCUAAACUUUAGUACAAAUCCUGAGAUGAUCAUAGUUUGUCUUUUAAAACACUUUCAUCAGAAAUUGAUGUUCCAGAUCUAAUCUAAUGGCAGUAAAUAGGCCCUCCGUGUUGAGAUCCCUGACAGUUUGAAAAUCAGCUGGCGUAGAAUCAUCAUCUGUUGUUUGAAGUGACAUUAUGGAGAUACCAUGUCUGUGUAUGCCUUUUUUUUGUUUGUUUCUUGUAUCUUAAUAAAAGUUACUGAUGACAACAUUCAUUUGUGAUCACAUUUUCUUUUUUAAAGUAACUUCAAAUAAACUUCACGAAGCAUUUUGGAAAACCAGACCACGCAGUCCACCCCAAAGCUCCUAGGAUUGGUUAAAACAGAGCCCAGAGCAGAACCCCGGGAAAAGAGGUUAAACCUGGGAAUAAAAGUACAAAAAAAAAAAAAGAAAAACGGUGGCAGAAAAUCUGAUUUGUAGUGGUGUUCGUUCAAUGUCAAAAAAACACUGACAAUAUUAAAAAUAUCCAAGAGGCUGCACAAUAAAUCCCACCUUUCAACAACUAGAUCACAGAGAAAAGACGACAAAUCAUGAGAAAAUCUACAAAUAUAGCAGUUGUGAUUUGAUUAAAGUUUUUUUUUAUUGUUUGGAACAGCGAAAGCUUUCAAAGCUGCCUAAGUGUUGCACUGUUGUUUUCUGCUGCUUUGUCUCUUCGAGAGUCAGAGGUUAAAGCUUUCUCCUUGUCUGGAAUGUGAUUUAAAUGCAUAGUAGAGGUCAGACCAACGUUUCCCAAUAGAAAGCCUGAAGACCAGUCAUCACCACUCCAUCACCAGCCUUAAACUGGGGUUAAAUUAAGAUGUACAUGCUAUUUCGAAACGUGGAGUGUGUGUGUCGUAACAAAACAAGAUAUAUCGUUCUGCUGACUGCAGUCAGACUGGAGGGUUCAGACAAAUCUAGGCAGGUACAGGUGGACUGAUUUUAUAUUAACCUGUGGCACUUCUUUGCUUACAAUCAGUUAAAUUUCCAGGAAGAUGCGUUUUUGUCUUUCUGUCAUCUAAAUGCGUUAGACCAAGUGCCUUGUUCUAACACAUUUAAUGCUGUCAAUAUAUACAAAAAAAAAAAA